GUGCAGAGUGCAGAACCCAAACGC
rnacentral:piRNA from 1 species